ACCUGAUGAUGUGAGCAUUUACGAAAUAGGUCCCUAAAACGCUCCAAGGUCUUAAAGAAAAGUUCCCCAUCCAUUUGUGUGAAACUUGUGAUUGCCCUUUGCAGUU